AGAGUUUGAUCAUGGCUCAGGAUGAACGCUGGCGGCGUGCCUAAUACAUGCAAGUCGAGCGAACAGAUAAGGAGCUUGCUCCUUUGACGUUAGCGGCGGACGGGUGAGUAACACGUGGAUAACCUACCUAUAAGACUGGGAUAACUUCGGGAAACCGGAGCUAAUACCGGAUAACAUAUUGAACCGCAUGGUUCAAUAGUGAAAGGCGGCUUUGCUGUCACUUAUAGAUGGAUCCGCGCCGUAUUAGCUAGUUGGUAAGGUGACGGCUUACCAAGGCAACGAUACGUAGCCGACCUGAGAGGGUGAUCGGCCACACUGGAACUGAGACACGGUCCAGACUCCUACGGGAGGCAGCAGUAGGGAAUCUUCCGCAAUGGGCGAAAGCCUGACGGAGCAACGCCGCGUGAGUGAUGAAGGUCUUCGGAUCGUAAAACUCUGUUAUCAGGGAAGAACAAAUGUGUAAGUAACUGUGCACAUCUUGACGGUACCUGAUCAGAAAGCCACGGCUAACUACGUGCCAGCAGCCGCGGUAAUACGUAGGUGGCAAGCGUUAUCCGGAAUUAUUGGGCGUAAAGCGCGCGUAGGCGGUUUUUUAAGUCUGAUGUGAAAGCCCACGGCUCAACCGUGGAGGGUCAUUGGAAACUGGAAAACUUGAGUGCAGAAGAGGAAAGUGGAAUUCCAUGUGUAGCGGUGAAAUGCGCAGAGAUAUGGAGGAACACCAGUGGCGAAGGCGACUUUCUGGUCUGUAACUGACGCUGAUGUGCGAAAGCGUGGGGAUCAAACAGGAUUAGAUACCCUGGUAGUCCACGCCGUAAACGAUGA
rnacentral:rRNA from 1 species